CCUACGGGGGGCUGCAGUGGGGAAUAUUGGACAAGGGGGGGAACCCUGAUCCAGCCAUGCCGCGUGUGUGAAGAAGGCCCUCGGGUUGUAAAGCACUUUCAGUGAGGAAGAACGCCUGGUGGUUAAUACCCAUCAGGAAAGACAUCACUCACAGAAGAAGCACCGGCUAACUCCGUGCCAGCAGCCGCGGUAAUACGGAGGGUGCGAGCGUUAAUCGGAAUUACUGGGCGUAAAGCGCGCGUAGGUGGCUUGAUAAGCCGGUUGUGAAAGCCCCGGGCUCAACCUGGGAACGGCAUCCGGAACUGUCAAGCUAGAGUGCAGGAGAGGAAGGUAGAAUUCCCGGUGUAGCGGUGAAAUGCGUAGAGAUCGGGAGGAAUACCAGUGGCGAAGGCGGCCUUCUGGACUGAAACUGACACUGAGGUGCGAAAGCGUGGGUAGCAAACAGGAUUAGAUACCCGGGUAGUC
rnacentral:rRNA from 1 species